GUUUCAUUGGUCCUGGGGAGAAUUGAAGGGGAAAUCUGGUUUGCAGCUGCUCAGCAGCACUGAUUGGUUUUAAGGGAUGGAUGCAGAGGGGGUUCACCUGUCUGGGAGCAGGAAUGCCAGAGUGCAACAGCUUGGGGAUGAUGGAGCUGCCUGGGCUGGUAUUUAUGACUCAGUGAUCAGAAGGCAUCUUUUAUGGAGCAGCAGUCACAAGUACAAUGAAGGAGCUUGGUGUGGUGUGGUUAUUGACAAAAUUAUUAUAAGGGUAUUACUAAGCUGUAAAACAUGAAAAGAAGAGAAAAGGGAAUAAAUACUUCAGUGAAAAGCUUUUUCAGCUGAACAAAAUGGAGUGAAAUGGUUAUAUCAAUAUGCUGGGAAUGAGAAGUGACCU
rnacentral:lncRNA from 12 species